GAAACAGAUUCCCGUGGUGGCCGGCCUCCUUUUUCCUCCACCCACUGCUCCCGACGGAUACACCCGCGGAUUUCUGCCGAUUCUCGCGACAGCCAUCGCUGUUCAACCGGCCAGAGCAGCGGCCUCCCCCCUACCAGGCCAUGGAGCUCGACGAGGCCGACAUCACAUGGGGCAAGGAGGCCCGGUGGUGUCCUGCUCGGUUGACAUGUGCGGAUGCGCUCUGUCUGCCUCCAAAGCCUCUAAGCCGCGCGCCGUGGGAAGCCGGCGGUGGCCUCCAAUGAAUAUCCCGGAUUGGUCCAAGAUCCUUGCGCGAAGUACGGCGGGGGCAGCGCCGGUGAAGGGCGCCGGCUAUCGGAGGGCCACGAGGACGCGUACGUUACGGUACGUAGAUCACGGCUAGGGUAGGUGGGUGCUCCCGCAGGAGCAGCUCAUGUGCCGGGAGCGCCGCGACGUCCUUCUCCGUGCGAGAGGGUGCUGAGUCCUUCUUCUCACACCAGCGCUCCGCGGCGGUGCGGCGUCCUUCUCCGAACGAGCAGCAGAGCUGCGGUGCCGCCCCUUAUCCUCCCGGUUCCCUAUCUUUCGUACCACCGCUUAGUUGACCCAGCGCCGCUUGCCGUUUCCUUGAUGUGGAAUACGGGGGAUCCAGCGGGCGGCCGAUGAUGAUGAACAGAUGCAAUUUUCUAGGAAGAAGAGGAGUCGACGGCAUAGCUCAUACGCUGAACUCACCUCCUGCCCUGAACCGGUGAACUGCAACUGCAGAAGCAUGAAAACGCAGGCCAACAGCUACCAAAGGUCGAAGAGUCCAAUAAGCCACAAAGUGCAGAUUCUGACUAUGCAUACGGCCAAGUUACAUGUGGGUCGUCUGACCAAAGUGGGAGACCCAGCAAGAAGAGGAAGGAAUACCAUUGCGAGAUGAAGAUGAGGGCAGCAGUGGUCAAGACAACGAUGACCCUUUAGCUCCAAAGAGGCCAAGAGUUGUUUGGUCAGUUGAACUGCAUAGAAAAUUCGUUGCUGUUGUGAACCAUCUUGGAAUUGACAAAGCUAUGCCAAAAAGAAUACUUGAGCUCAUGAAUGUUGAGAAAUUCACUAGGGAAAAUGUUGCAGGUCACCUACAGGCAAGGCACUUUAUUUACUUUCUUGUAGUUAUCAGUAGAUCAGUACCUUGUCUGUCUCAUUCUUCCAAACGUAAAUCUCUGUACUGCAGCCAGCAACUAGGUAUUAAAGAUGGUAUAUGAUACUACCAUAUAUUAUGCUGACCAAUUAAUAUUAUUUAAGAUGUGCUGAAAGAAAGCACCGCUCCCACACUGAUUAACCUGGAGCAAAUAUACUUUUAAUGUUGAUAUUAAAGUUGGAGUGUGAAAAACAAGGUUGUAUUUUUUCACUGUAAAACCUGCAGUUUCUGGAACAAGUCCUGAAACAAGUAAAUGAGUAUUCAGGUAAGAGCUAGAUAAAGGGCCUUUAUGUGUAGCCUAGCACUUCUCUAGACCUCUUACCAAGAUUCAGCAAGCAUGAGUAUGGUAAAUUAGCUCUAUAAUGUUUCUAUAUCUCGCUUUGGAACAAGCUAAAGGCUAGAUGUGGAAACACAGUUAAGUACUCCUUAUAACAUGUUUCACAAGUUUGACCGUUUGCUUUGGUGUACAAGCAUACAUAUAGGCUAUAUCUCCGACGGUUAAGUGUUGUGUCAUCACAACAAGCUGCCAUCGUUGCUACUUUGGGAGGCAGAGACCCCUUUUUGCGCAUGGAUGCAUUUGAAGGGCUCCAGGGAUAUCAAGCUUUCACAUCUCCUGCGGCUCUAUCAUCUUUCAGUGCACAUGGGCUAAGUUGUCCUAGAAACAAUCAGGUAGUGGUUGUGAUACAGGGGAUGCCUGCUUCCAGAUCAAUUCAUACUGGAAGUGGCAGUUCCAUAACAAAUAAUUCCGUUUAUGAUGCAAAUAAGUACCAUCUUAGCCUACAAGGAAACUAGCAUGGUAACCUGGCACCAGGUUUAGCCACAUCGCUUGGGCAGGCCCAACUACAACAGAAGUGGAUGAAUGAAGCAACGGUGAUCUGUCCGCCAUCCUAUGUGGGAAUAGCCUGGUCAAAGGCUCACACGCUCCAAAGUGUCACAAGAAGUACAUGCCUCAAGAUCAAAUGAUACAUUCUCAGCAAGGUUUGGUCCAACAAAUGACCUCACGGUAGCAAGAGGUGGCAAAGUGGGAGCCAACUCUUUUGGUGGCACGAUACUUUGUUGCCAGAUACCGACCAAAAGUACUGGAGCUUUGGAAGUGGAAACAGCUUUAGACAGAAGGCGGAUGAAAGUAGUGUAGACAGUCUACUUGGUCCAAACCUUGCAUGAAAUUCCUCUCAACUGAUAAGCUAGCCAUAAAGCUAAUACACACAUAAUCUCUCUUUUAAGUGGCCAACGAGCAAUUGUGAUUCUCGGGGGAGACUAUGCCAAGAACUUUGAUUCUGCUGACCUAUGUAAUGCAUCCUCGCAAGAUUCUAUCAUAAUAUUAAUUUUUUGGCAUGAAUGUCAGCAAAUACUCAGGUAACUUACGAUUAUCUAGCUAAAUCAUGCACUGCACAUGAGUUCUCUUCAAGGUCAUGAAUUUUCGUGUGAUUAUUUGUAGUAUUGGCAAACUAGGUGGGUUUCAUGGGAAUAUAUGUUGGUGCUGCUGCAGGUUCUGCAUUUUUUAAGGUGAGCUGCAGGAAUUGGAUAGCGCUUGCAGGUCGUGCAUUUCCUAGGUGCGGGUGCCUCCAUCUCCAUAAUCUCACAGAUAUGAUUAAUCUUACAUGGAUGUUGGUGUAUGGUCUUGGAAGAGUGAGAUACAAAGUACUUACAUUGCAUUUUUCACUCAGAAAUGGUGAAUAUACUCAAACGAUCACAAAUUAACUUUAUAAUUUAGUUGGUAGUUUUUGAAAAAGCAACCUAUAUAUGCACAAGGGCCUUCCAAUCAUCAAUAUAGAGUUUCUUCCAACUGCUUGGUUGUUCUGAUCAUAUCAGUGGUGGGACUCCAAUAAGAUUUUAAUUCCAUGACUCACGAGGUGUCCUCUUCAGAAGUUAUAUGCAGAGUGCAACAAGUUUAGGCCCCACAACACCUGUAGUAGGUGUACCUGUAAAUGUGGUCAUAUUUCUGGAAAUUCGAGCAUAGUUUCCUUAGCUAAGCUGAGAUCAGCGUAGAGAACUCCCUAAGCUGAACAGUCUUUGCUUAAUUCAACAAUGAAUACUUCAUGCCUCUUAUAGCAACAGAUAUCACCCCAGGGGUGCGGCAUGUAGGAUUCGUUCUAGAGUUGAAGUGUGUUAUUAUGGGUUUCAGUUAAUUAAUGAGGGGAUGGUUGCUAGAACGUAGCUAAUUGGGUAGUAAUAUGUAAGUUGAUCUAACUGCAUAUACAAAAGUUACUAAUAGUAGAGAUUCAUUUAAGAUAAUUGAGGUAAAAAUUGCUAGCAUUGUCUAUAAUUUUCAGGUUUUGUCAAAGUUUGAUACUGCCUUUUGUACCAGAUAGCUCUGAUAUUUUGUAGUGAUUGGGCUCCGAAAUAGAUAUGCAUAUUUCCGCAAGAUUAUGUGCUUCUUGAGCAAGGCAUGUCAAGAUUUCUUUUUUUUCUCGAACACACGCCUAGACGUGUGUCUUUGUAUAUUAGAAGAAGACCGUCAAGAUGACGGGAAAGUUACAGCGUUGGUAGCAAGGCUACAGAAGAAGGUAAAAAACAAAGAAACAAGAGAAGAACACAAGAGACAACAAAACAAAAUAUGUACAAGGCUAACAUUCUGUUAGCCUGCAUUGUUCGAGAUUUCUGAUACUAACCUUUCUUUUUUAUUUCUGCACUUCUAUGUAAUGGGUAAUGCUUGCCUUCCUUUUUCUAUCUGCAGUUUCAUGGAAUGUGUGAUCUAUUUCCUCUAAAGUUGUUUGGUGCUUCUCCCCUGCGUCUCCCUCCUCCUAUAUGCAGAUCAGAAAAAAAAAGCAAUGGUACCUUCUUUGAUCUUCUUGGUUCACAUUUUGAAAGAUAGAUGGGCAUUGGACAUUGUGUCGCUCAAUCGGGGCAAUUUGGUUCCGUAAACAUUGCACAAUGAUCAUGUUUCUCUUUGCAUUCCUAUUCAUUUAGACAUAUGUAGGUGUGUAGCAAUAUCAUCCCCUGAAAUAGCUGUGCUGAUGCACCCUCCUGGUUUAUGACAAAUGGGUAUUGUGUGAUUAAGGUGAGCUGCUUCUACCUGCAUACAUCCUGCUACGUCGGUGCAACCAAGUCAUGUGUUCUUCCGAGAAGUGUGAUUUUCCCACAAACAGAUCAAAGACAAUCUUCUGGACACUGAUCAUUCAAGUGAUUAUAUUUUUCUUAAGUGCUGCCUUUUUCCUAAUUGCAGCUUGGGGUCUUCGUUUUUUCAUAGAGGGUGUGUCUCUAUUAACUAAAAACAGUAGUGCACCUGGUAAUUCUUUCUUGACAAGCCUAUCAUGUCAACAUUGUUUCUGAUGCAUUACCAACAAUGCUUUUGUCUGCACAACAAACAAACCAAUGGUUGUGUCUAUAUGUGACACUUUCAAGUUCAAACCUUUAGGUACCAUUAUAAUUAGCAUCGUGUUUAUCAUUGGAGAAAGUAGCACAAAGCUAUGUUAUUGGCUACUUUCAAUGAGUCAGUGAGAGCCAAGAUUAUUUUCAAGUUACAUUUUUGCACUACUUUUUGGAAACUUUUUCAAUGUACAUGAAUUUCCAUAUUCUCGCAUUUUAACUUAUUGCCAUCCACUUAAAUAAGUACACACACAAAUGUUCUAUUAAAAGAGAUCAAUCUACAUGUUUCUAUAGGAACUAAGAAGUGAAGAUGCAUGCAGCUGACUAUUCUGUAAACAUAAAAGGAUCCAGCCCUCACAACCACACACAAUGGUUGAGCACAAGUACAGUGGACCUAUUCGACAUUUUGAAUUAUUGCCAUGCAUCCACUUAAUAUAUGUAUCCAGAGGUGUGUGUAGUUAGGAACUUAGAAGUGCAGAUGCAGCUGACUAAACUUAUCUCUCACAACCAUACAUGCAUGGUUAUUGGUUCUCCUCUUCUAGAUAUUUGGCAGCUCUUCUCACUAA